rnacentral:rRNA from 1 species
CCCGAGACUCAGUGAAAUUGAACUCGCUGUGAAGAUGCAGUGUACCCGCGGCAAGACGGAAAGACCCCGUGAACCUUUACUAUAGCUUGACACUGAACAUUGAGCCUUGAUGUGUAGGAUAGGUGGGAGGCUUUGAAGUGUGGACGCCAGUCUGCAUGGAGCCGGCCUUGAAAUACCACCCUUUAAUGUUUGAUGUUCUAACGUGGACCCGUGAUCCGGGUUGCGGACAGUGUCUGGUGGGUAGUUUGACUGGGGCGGUCUCCUCCUAAAGAGUAACGGAGGAGCACGAAGGUUGGCUAAUCCUGGUCGGACAUCAGGAGGUUAGUGCAAUGGCAUAAGCCAGCUUGACUGCGAGCGUGACGGCGCGAGCAGGUGCGAAAGCAGGUCAUAGUGAUCCGGUGGUUCUGAAUGGAAGGGCCAUCGCUCAACGGAUAAAAGGUACUCCGGGGAUAACAGGCUGAUACCGCCCAAGAGUUCAUAUCGACGGCGGUGUUUGGCACCUCGAUGUCGGCUCAUCACAUCCUGGGGCUGAAGUAGGUCCCAAGGGUAUGGCUGUUCGCCAUUUAAAGUGGUACGCGAGCUGGGUUUAGAACGUCGUGAGACAGUUCGGUCCCUAUCUGCCGUGGGCGCUGGAGAACUGAGGGGGGCUGCUCCUAGUACGAGAGGACCGGAGUGGACGCAUCACUGGUGUUCGGGUUGUCAUGCCAAUGGCACUGCCCGGUAGCUAAAUGCGGAAGAGAUAAGUGCUGAAAGCAUCUAAGCACGAAACUUGCCCCGAGAUGAGUUCUCCCUGAGACUUUAGGUCUCCUGAAGGAACGUUGAAGACGACGACGUUGAUAGGCCGGGUGUGUAAGCGCAGCGAUGCGUUGAGCUAACCGGUACUAAUGAACCGUGAGGCUUAACCUU